UUGCAGCCAUAUCCCGUAGAAACAUCGGUUCUCGUACAAUCACCGAAGUUAAGCAACGUCGAGCCUUCUCAGUACCUAGAUGGGGGUUCGCUUGACAAUAUCAGGUGCUGUAA